rnacentral:sRNA from 2 species
CAUCAGUCUCCCACACGGGCCACAUCCACAUGCAGCCCCGGAAUUUCUGGAUCGCCUGAAUAGGCUGUCCUUGGGGGGAGGCCACGGGGAGACAGAAGUGAAAAGUGAAGAGUGAAAGGGCGCAAAAAAAAAAGUUAAUGAUGGAAAAAAAACCUGAUUCCAACCCCCUUUCCCUGUUACACAUCAUUUUUCAUUUUUUUUUUCCCUUUAAACUUUCUUUCCAAGACUUGAGAGUGAGACUCGGACAUUGCCUGCCAGUAUUAUUAUUAAUUCAAGAUCUCACUUCUCAAACUCUCUGUCUCUGACAAUUGACGGACCUGCAAAACUUGAUAACUGGCACUGACUGACACAAACACGGACAUUGACACUGACAACCAACAGGGGCCAAAGAAUAAUGAUGCAUGCAUAAUCUGUACAGCGUGCGCAGCAGGCUGUACCAUUCUGCCCUGUCCUUGUUCGGACCAUGGACAGCUGCAAGGAACCAGGUCGAAGGAGGGACACUGAGGCAACGGAGGCAUUGAGACCGAGGCGGGGAGAAGAAGGGAGGGGUGACUAGUCGCCCCAGGGGCAGGGCCCGGCCUCCUUGGCAGUGAUCCAUGUUGGAAAUAUGGCGAUGUUUGUGCUAAUUCUGAUCACCAGACCAUGGCAAAAAGAAAAGAAAAGAGAAAAGAGAAAAGAGAAAAGAAAAUGGCCAGAAGAGAAAGAAAACAGCAGAAUGGGAGAGGAUAUUCGAAGAAGAAGAAGAAGGACCAAGAAAGGGGGUUUUCAAUUUGCAAGACGGUGAUGAGCCCAGUCGCCCUUGGGUUUCACGAAGAUCCACCUCUCUCUGCUCAGAACAUUGAACAUUGCUCUCUUACGUAGCGAAUACAGAAAUGCACCUCCCUGACAUGCCACAGGAGCGGGAGCCGGGGGGGCGUCAAUUGAUCAUCCAUACUUGCACCUACGAUGGCAUUAUUAGCAUCAUCACCAAACAAGGUAUCAGCACGUCAUGGAUGACGCUUGAUUCAAGGCAUGUGUACAGUACAUGACUUGGUUGACAUAGCUGCCAUAGUGUUGAAGAUGUGCGAGAUCAGGGUGCUGUUUCUGUCGGGCUGCUUGUCAUGGAUGUAUCUGUCUAUCUAUCUCUUUACCCUAGGCACAGUACAGUACACACUUGACAUUCUCACAUCAUUGACAUCUUGGCGACAUCGACUGCCAGGAAAUAAAAGGUUGAAUUUACAAUUAAGAAAAUAUGGCUACUAGUAUUCACGAUUGGGCUAAUAAAAUAAUUCUAAUACUGGUAACAAUCCUAUCGAGCAUGGAUAGAAGAAAAACAGUGUAAACCCAAUCACAGUUUCUUCUUCACAAUCAACAAAGUACCCGUCUGGGUUCCAUCCACAACCUCUUUCCCCUUCUCCACACCAGCCUCGUGUAACAGCCGCUCAAUAUCCCUUCGAAACACCCUCACUAUGUCCCGCUCGGUCCCCACCGCAUCCGGAUGCGCCGUCCGCCACCGCGUCACUGGGCUCGCAGUCCCCAUCAUCUUUUCCAGCGUAUCCAUAUCGACCGUCACAGGCUUCACCAAAGACUUGCCAUCGGCAUCGUAAUCGGCAUCGCUGCCAUCCCACACCUUGUGGAGGAGGCUGGCCUCGUCGAACUCCGCAACGGGCCCCGCAGGCGUCGUCGACAGGCUCCAGGGUAACUCCAGGUCGGCGUAGUGUUUGUUGACGCUCAGGUUCCCCGGCGCCAUGUACGGCAUCAGAUGCUCUUCCUCGAACGCAUCGAUGACUGUCUGGAUGGCGGCGCUGUUGGGCACGCUGGCGCUGACGCGGAUGCGCGCGCGGACCCAGAGCGCGACGCUGCCGCCAGGCUUCAGCACCUGCGCAGCCCGCGGCCAGAAGCGGCUCAUGUCGAACCAAUGCGCGGCCGCCGCGGCUGUCAGGAGGUCGACGCUGUUGUCCGCGAUGAGCGGAGGGGAGAGCUGGGAGCCGAGGUCUUCGGCGGUGGAGACUUGGAAAUUUAUGGGUUCGGGCACCGCGGAUGAUGAUGGUGAUGAUGUGCUGCCGCCGAGAGAACGGGCGGUGCUGAUCAUCCCUUCUGAUUGAUCGAGGCCGAUGGCAUGGGCAAAGUAUGGUGCCAGUGCACGCACUGCUGUUCCGGGACCACAGCCGACGUCAACGAUCGUGUCAAGCUGCCCGCCAGUGGAGGUGUGAUGGUCGAUGAUGAAUUGGAGGAACUCCGGUUCAUAUCCAAGGCGAUUCUGGGCAUAAGACAGGCCUUGUCCCUGUGUGUAGGCCCGGAAUGUACUCUCCGCCUGGAAUUCAGUGUUAUUGGACUCUGCGUUGGCCAUGGUAGCUAAGCAUCCACACGGGGCUUUUUACCCUAGUUGUGGGAAAGUAUUGCAAGAUGGUAUAAAUAUAGCUGUAGCGGUGUCUUCUGCCGUUCAGGGGACACGAAACUUGAUGUGAUGCCAAUAAUGGUCGCAAGUUGCAGGUUGGUUCUGAGCAAAUACGAAGUAUGUAUUUAUUUUGCCUAAUCGCUCAGCGGGCACAAGUCGUUAUACAGCCAAUGAUCCCUUUUACCCCUCAGCUAUGAUGAGAAUAGCUCUUACACUCUACGUAACGGAUUCCCCGCCCAACAUCCAAACUGACCACGAUGAGGAUGGAGUAUUUGUAAUGAUAUCUCCACAAUGCACUAGGCUUUGGGGAUUAAAUGAUAUAAAUAGUGUUAAAUCCAGGC